AAGUCGUAACAAGGUUUCCGUAGGUGAACCUGCGGAAGGAUCAUUACAAGAAAAGUCCAAUUAAAAUGUACAGGAACUACACCUUGCAUUUGGCAGAAUCGAUCGCGUGCCCAAGGCUGAGGUACCCCCUCUCCCCGCGGUUCGCGGUUCGAAUUCUGUGGAAACCCUUUGUGAAAACCCUCCGUUGCCUCGGCGGCACCUCCCGCGCGGUUAGCGCUGCGCGGGGGAGGUCAGUCCGCCGGCGGCACCAACCAAAACCCAUAACCAUUUUGAAGAAGCUGUCUGAAAACAAAAAGUCGAAUGACUAUAAAACUUUCAACAACGGAUCUCUUGGUUCCC
rnacentral:misc_RNA from 1 species